AAAACUUUCCUAGCGUGUUAAAUUCUGCUACCUCACCAACGACAACUUGGACCUUGACCUCCAAUGUGUGUUCGACCAAAUUCCCUUCGUAGAGGCUGGGAAGAGAGGUAUAUCGCUUUCAGCUCAGAGGCUUACGUUGAAAGAGGAAGUUUGGAGAUAAAUGCUCUUUUUCUCUUCAUGUCAGUCUGGGAUGUGGAAGCAGAGAAUGUGUCUGUUUUGCUCACCAUCACAUCUGCGGAGCCUAGCCCAAUGCCUGGCAUGGAGUCAGGAUGCAAUCAUAAUUUGCCACAUGGAGGAAUAAAUGGUUGGCUUGUCCCGUGACUGGCCACUCUCUGUCUUACUUCCUCAUCUGUAAAAUCGAG
rnacentral:lncRNA from 1 species